UGAUCUAAUGGCCGUUGCAAA
rnacentral:piRNA from 1 species